CGGUACAUUGUCACAAGAAGAGUCACCAUGAUCUCACUCAGUGUUCUGGUCUGUUUACUGAUUGUCUGGACAAAGGAUUCCAGAGGUGACAUUACAGUAGAUCAGUCGCCCCCUGCCAUAUCAGUUGUGCCAGGUCAAACUGUCACUAUAAAGUGUAAAGCCUCCCAGGUUAUUGGUGAUGAUAUGGAGCUAUACCAGCUUAAACCUGGACAUGCACCUAAGAUGUUAAUAUAUAAUGGAAAUACACUUGUCACUGGAACCCCAAGUCGGUUCAGUGGUACCUGGAGUGGAGCUGACCACACUUUCACCAUCAGCAAUGUCCAGAGUGAAGACGAUGCAGAAUACCACUGUGGGCAGAGUGAUGCAUUCCCUUUGACAUUCGGGCAAGGGACCAAGGUGGUGGUAAAAAGCCGAGCGCUGGCUUCCCCGGUUGUCAGUCUGCUACCUCCUUCAGCUGAAGAGCUCUCAAAGAACUGGGCAACGCUUGUGUGCCUGGUCGACAAAUUCUACCCAGACAUCGUCGAAGUCGUGUGGGAAAUCGACGACAAGAGCCAGACAGACGGGAUUCUCAACAGCAAGUCGCUCAAGGCGUCAGACAACACGUACAGCAUGAGCAGCAUCCUCACGCUGACGCGGGCAAAGUGGGAGUCCAGCGAAAAAUACUCCUGCAUCAUCAAGCAUGAAAACUCCGCAGCCCCUAUUGUGAGCACCAUCAAUAGAAGCCAGUGUACAACUGCGUAAAACUAGCUGGGAAGUCAAACCAUUGUCAUUGUUUUAAGAUAUUGGUUUAAAUAUUGCUAGAAAUACAGUAGUAGGCUACACAGUUGUAUACCAUUCUAACAUGUUAGUGCUUUUGGCUGUUUUGGCUUAUUGUUAUGUAAUAUGAAUGACUAACAGAAUAAAAUCUUUAAAAAAAGGAAUAAAUAAAUACAAUUGAAUUUUAAAAAGCAAACAUAUUUCUCUGUAACACCAAUGUUAGAUUAUAAAACAUGUAGCGAUAUGCUGUGUUAGCAUGUUAAGCAUUUGUAACUAAAUUGCUGAAAUGAUAUUUCACUCUAUGGCACAUAUAACAUUGUUUGGGCUUCAGCAUUCCUGUGUAGUAUAGUAUGCUGUUUUAUGUGUGUAUUCAAUAAAAGGAAAAAAAAAUAAACAAAUAAUAAUUCAAGCAAA